CUCAAGAAGGCUGUGGAGGAGCUUCCGUGAAGUCCCUUCCACGCAGCCCAGCCAGAACAUCCUCAGUGGGGAAUCUUAAUUAUGAUGAAGGGUGACUCCAAUUUCAAACUUCCUGGAGUUCAGAGGGGUCCAGUGUGUGCAUCUGUAAUUUAAUUACUAUUUAUUAUUUAUCAUCCCUUCAUAACCCGAGAAGCUUCAAACCUUUAAAGAAUUAGAUAUGUGUACUACCAAGAU
rnacentral:lncRNA from 1 species